rnacentral:rRNA from 1 species
CUCGGAUCAGGUAGGAUCCAGU